AUUGAACGCUGGCGGCAGGCCUAACACAUGCAAGUCGAGCGGAUGAAGGGAGCUUGCUCCUGGAUUCAGCGGCGGACGGGUGAGUAAUGCCUAGGAAUCUGCCUGGUAGUGGGGGAUAACGUCCGGAAACGGGCGCUAAUACCGCAUACGUCCUGAGGGAGAAAGUGGGGGAUCUUCGGACCUCACGCUAUCAGAUGAGCCUAGGUCGGAUUAGCUAGUUGGUGGGGUAAAGGCCUACCAAGGCGACGAUCCGUAACUGGUCUGAGAGGAUGAUCAGUCACACUGGAACUGAGACACGGCCCAGACUCCUACGGGAGGCAGCAGUGGGGAAUAUUGGACAAAGGGCGAAAGCCUGAUCCAGCCAUGCCGCGUGUGUGGAGAAGGUCUUCGGAUUGUAAAGCACUUUAAGUUGGGAGGAAGGGCAGUAAGUUAAUACCUUGCUGUUUUGACGUUACCAACAGAAUAAGCACCGGCUAACUUCGUG
rnacentral:rRNA from 1 species